AAGACCCAGUUCUCUUGGGUCCUGCAACAGGAUCUAGUGCUCUUGGGUCCACGUCAGGACCCAAUUUUCUUGGGUUCUUUGUCAGGACUCAAGGCUAUUGGGUCUU
rfam:Populus trichocarpa isolate Nisqually-1 chromosome 15, whole genome shotgun sequence.